rnacentral:pre_miRNA from 1 species
AAAAAGACAAACUCUGAUUUCCGUGUUCAACGUUUGACCGUCCGUCUUAUUUAAAAAAAUUAAAAAGACAAGUCACGCAUAAAAUAUUAAUCAUGUUUUAUCAUCUAACAACAAUGAAAAUACGAAUUAUAAAAAUAUUUUAUAUAAGAUGGACAGUUAAAGUUGGACACGAAAACUAAGAGUUUGCCUUUUA